rnacentral:rRNA from 1 species
GACGAACGCUGGCGGCGUGCUUAACACAUGCAAGUCGAGCGGAAAGGCCCUUUCGGGGGUACUCGAGCGGCGAACGGGUGAGUAACACGCGAGUAAUCUGCCCUGGACUCUGGGAUAGCCACCGGAAACGGUGAUUAAUACCGGAUAUGACACCUUGCUGCCUGGUGGGGUGUGGAAAGGUUUUUCGGUCCAGGAUGUGCUCGCGGCCUUUCAGCUUGUUGGUGAGGUAAUGGCCCACCAAGGCUUUGACGGGUGGCCGGCCUGAGAGGGUGACCGGUCACACUGGGACUGAGACACGGCCCAGACUCCUACGGGAGGCAGCAGUGGGGAAUAUUGGACAAUGGGCGGAAGCCUGAUCCAGCAACGCCGCGUGAGGGAUGACGGCCUUCGGGUUGUAAACCUCUUUCAGUACCGACGAAGCGUGAGUGACGGUAGGUACAGAAGAAGGACCGGCCAACUACGUGCCAGCCGCCGCCGUAACAC